rnacentral:rRNA from 1 species
CUCCUACGGGAGGCAGCAGUGAGGAAUAUUGGACAAUGGGCGCAAGCCUGAUCCAGCCAUGCCGCGUGCAGGAUGACGGUCCUAUGGAUUGUAAACUGCUUUUGCACAGGAAGAAACACUCGGACGUGUCCGAGCUUGACGGUACUGUGAGAAUAAGGAUCGGCUAACUCCGUGCCAG